rnacentral:misc_RNA from 1 species
GAGAGUAAUCCCAAUGAAAAUAAUAUGGCCAAACUACGAAGCACAAUUAUGAUCUGGUAUAGGACACUAGCCCUACUUUAAACUCAAAAACAUCAGUCAUUGAGAAGACUUUCCUUGAAUAGGGAGACAACCUUAUAGAAAAUCAGCUGCAUGAAAUAUAAUUAAAGAAUUAAAGAUCACCUUAGCUCUAUGUUGCAAAAG